UACGUAGGAGGCAAGCGUUAUCCGGAAUGACUGGGCGUAAAGGGUGCGUAGGUGGUUUGACAAGUUGGUAGCGUAACUCCGGAGCUCAACUUCGGAACUACUACCAAAACUGUUGGACUCGAGUGCAGGAGGGGCAACUGGAAUUUCUAGUGUAGCGGUGGAAUGCGUAGAUAUUAGGAAGAACACCGGUGGCGAAGGCGAGUUGCUGGACUGUAACUGACACUGAGGCACGAAAGCGUGGGGAGCAAACAGG
rnacentral:rRNA from 1 species